rnacentral:misc_RNA from 1 species
UCCGAGUUGACCCCGGCAGUCUCCUAUGAGUCCCCACCAUCCCAAAGGACGUGCUGGCAACAUAGGACGAGGGUUGCGCUCGUUGCGGGACUUAACCCAACAUCUCACGACACGAGCUGACGACAGCCAUGCACCACCUGUCACCGGCCCAAAAAGGACCCCGCAUCUCUGCGAGUUUUCCGGCGAUGUCAAGCCUUGGUAAGGUUCUUCGCGUUGCAUCGAAUUAAUCCGCAUGCUCCGCCACUUGUGCGGGCCCCCGUCAAUUCUUUUGAGUUUUAGCCUUGCGGCCGUACUCCCCAGGCGGAACACUUAUCGCGUUGGCUUCGGCACAGACAGAUUCGACUCCGCCCACACCUAGUGUUCAUCGUUUACGGCGUGGACUAC